rnacentral:lncRNA from 1 species
AAGAAACUCCAUCAAGCAUCAUUAUCCAUCUAGGCAACAUCUAGGCAACUGUGGUUAUUCAUGCUUUUUAUGUCUCCAGUCUCUUAGACUGUACUUCCCACUCAUUACCAUUGCAAGUUUCUGCUAUAUCUGCUUUCCUUAGACGUCUGAGGCAUAUACAUCAUAGCUACAUGAAUAGCAUGAAUAAUGUUCCCCCAUUAUGAGGACAGGGGGCCUGCAGCUAUUGGCUGGUAAUGCUCUGGGAGCCCAUGGUAGCACAGAAGGACUGAACUUUCCAAAGUAGCCUGAAAACUUGGUCUUGCCAUUUGGUGCACCCAGCAGUCUUCUGAUGGAGAAGGCUUCCAGGAUGAGGACUGAGUGGAGAAGACCAUGUGUUAAUGUAUUCUAAAUAUGAAGGUACAUGCCUCUGGGAAAGCAGAGACCAUGAAUGAAAGGAAUAACUUGGCCUACAGCUUAGCAACUGCCACCAUCAUUAACUGCAAGAAUUAGGUCUUGCCUCAUUAACUGCUGAUUGAAGCUCUGCUUGGCCCUCUGGGAUACCUAACACCCCAGGCCUAUCACCAGAUGAACCCCUGGUUAGGCGCUUUUGCCUUCGCCUGUGUUGCUUUGCACAGCUCCUUGACCUCAACCUUCUUACGAAUGUUUAUCCUUCUACCAGACAAACAAGUUCAUUCCCUGAAGUAAAACUAUCUGGGCAAAUGGAGCUGAUUUCACCUCUUGGAUCCUGUAUCAGUAUGUACAGUCAGUCGGGGAGCAGGGACAAUUUCAGUGAGAGGUGCGUGACCCCCCAAAAAGGUGAAGAAUCAAAGCAACAGAGCUAG